UCGCUCCUACCGAUUGAGUGAUCCGGUGAAUCAUUCGGACUGUGGCUUCAUUCAGUCAUGUUUGUUGCUGUGGAAAGUUUCAUGAACCUUAUCACUUAGAGGAAGGAG
rnacentral:rRNA from 1 species